rnacentral:rRNA from 1 species
UACGAAGGGGGCGAGCGUUGUUCGGAAUUACUGGGCGUAAAGGGCGCGUAGGCGGCCGAUCAAGUCAGAUGUGAAAGUCCUGGGCUUAACCUGGGGACUGCAUUUGAUACUGAUUGGCUUGAAUGCAGGAGAGGAUAGCGGAAUUCCCAGUGUAGAGGUGAAAUUCGUAGAUAUUGGGAAGAACACCGGUGGCGAAGGCGGCAUCUGG